rnacentral:sRNA from 1 species
UCCAGACGCCUGAUGGAGCAUGAGCAGUGGGAGGCCACAUCCAAAUUCAGGUCUCAGGAAAAGAAUCCAACUUCGUCAGCUUUGCUAAUGGCGUUUGGAAUCACCAAGAUCACAAAGGAUAAAAGUGGGUUGGAGCAUAGGCAAGACACAAGUUGGUGGAGACAGAGACAGCCUAUGCUAGAAGUCUCCAGUAAUGGGUCACAGAGACAGCUCAGCUCCUGAGGUGUUGUUGACACAGUGCUUGGCAACCUGUUUUUGAUUCCCGGUUCAGGGGG